rnacentral:rRNA from 1 species
UACGUAGGGGGCUAGCGUUGUCCGGAAUCAUUGGGCGUAAAGCGCGUGUAGGCGGUUUGUCGCGUCUGCUGUGAAAAUCCGGGGCUCAACCCCGGACUUGCAGUGGGUACGGGCAGACUAGAGUGUGGUAGGGGAGACUGGAAUUCCUGGUGUAGCGGUGAAAUGCGCAGAUAUCAGGAGGAACACCGAUGGCGAAGGCAGGUCUCUGGGCCACUACUGACGCUGAGAAGCGAAAGCAUGGGGAGCGAACAGG